UCAUUAGAUAGCUGAAAGCCAGCACUGGUCUCUUAAACCAUAAUAUAGUAAAUUAGCACCUACUUCUAAUG
rnacentral:tRNA from 1 species